ensembl:lncRNA
CCUGGCAGUUUGUUGCUCUCUGCCAGGUGAUUGGCUGAAGAGCUGUGAAAAGGUAAUGGGUGUGUGGGGUGAAGUCAGCGCUCUUCUGUGGAAAAAACCAGAGGCAAUUAAUUCACUCAGGUGCGAGUGGGUAUACUGUCGUGUGACCACGAAUUUUAAUAGAAGAAUUGAUCAAGCCCUAGAUCGACUGCGCGCAGGGAAACUGAUCAAUAUUCUGUGCUGUCUCUGCUGUCAUAUUUUUUUCGUUCUUUUGAUUGAUUUGUAAUUUUGUUUUUGUUAGUCCGUCCAGCCGUAGAGGCGGUUAUUGAUUGAGAGUAGGUUUUGUAAGGGCGGACUAACCUCUCUUUUGUUUUUUAUUUUUAAUUGUUUGUGCCACUUCCCUUUAUCUCUCAGAUCACAGGCCAUACAUAGCACUGAUUCCCAGCUGCGCUGAGACCCGAAUUGUUUGCAGUGUGUGCCACGAUUGCAGUGUCGCUAAGCGGGGUGUGAUGGGUUGCAGUGUUAUUUCGCACAGUUUGUGUGGUAAGUCUCAUGUGCAGCUGGGAUAUCAGCAGGAUGUGUUGUAAGUCCUGUCUGGAAACGACUGGGAAUUUGUAUGUUUAACUCAUGUAAUAAAUAAAUGAUCAAUUAUUUCUUUGCCCCGUUUACUCAUCCCUUGUCCUCGGUUACAGUAUGAAUUAAACAGGUUAAAGGUCAAUGCUCUGUUG